rnacentral:tRNA from 1 species
GGGUUUGUAGCUCAGUUGGUAGAGCGGUCGCCUCUUAAGCGAUUGGUCGCGGGUUCGAGUCCCGCCGGACCCACCA